GUGAAUGUAGCUCAGUGGUAGAGCAACUGCUUAACAUGUAUAAGGUCCUGGGUUCAAUUCCCAGCACUGCAUA
rnacentral:tRNA from 1 species